rnacentral:rRNA from 1 species
GCAAGUCGAACGAGAGGAAGGAAAGCUUGCUUUUCUGAAUCUAGUGGCGAACGGGUGAGUAACACGUAGGUAACCUGCCCAUGUGCCCGGGAUAACUUCUGGAAACGGAUGCUAAAACCGGAUAGGUAGCAGACAAGCAUUUGACUGCUAUUAAAGUGGCUUUGGCCAUGAACAUGGAUGGACCUGCGGUGCAUUAGCUGGUUGGUGAGGUAACGGCCCACCAAGGCGACGAUGCAUAGCCGGCCUGAGAGGGCGGACGGCCACAUUGGGACUGAGACACGGCCCAAACUCCUACGGGAGGCAGCAGUAGGGAAUUUUCGUCAAUGGGGGGAACCCUGAACGAGCAAUGCCGCGUGAGUGAGGAAGGUCUUCGGAUCGUAAAGCUCUGUUGUAAGAGAAAAACGGCACUCAUAGGGAAUGAUGAGUGAGUGAUGGUAUCUUACCAGAAAGUCACGGCUAACUACGUGCCAGCAGCCGCGGUAAUACGUAGGUGGCGAGCGUUAUCCGGAAUGAUUGGGCGUAAAGGGUGCGUAGGUGGCAGAUCAAGUCUGGAGUAAAAGGUAUGGGCUCAACCCGUACUGGCUCUGGAAACUGAUCAGCUAGAGAACAGAAGAGGACGGCGGAACUCCAUGUGUAGCGGUAAAAUGCGUAGAUAUAUGGAAGAACACCGGUGGCGAAGGCGGCCGUCUGGUCUGGAUUCUGACACUGAAGCACGAAAGCGUGGGGAGCAAAUAGGAUUAGAUACCCUAGUAGUCCACGCCGUAAACGAUGAGAACUAGGUGUUGGGGGAAUAACUCAGUGCCGCAGUUUAACGCAGUAAAGUUCUCCGCCUGGGGAGUAUGCACGCAAGUGUGAAACUCAAAGG